GCCGACUUAGCUCAGUUGGCAGAGCACCUGUCUUGUAAACAGGGGGUCGGAGGUUCGAGCCCCUCUAGUCGGCA
rnacentral:tRNA from 1 species